AAGGAAGGGAUAAGAAUGAAAGCUGGAUGCGCGUGUGUAUCGGUAGCAGAAUGGGAAGUCUCAAUAUUGCUCAUAAAGACCAUUAAGCACCGGACACAAGAAAAGAAAGUUUUUUUUCCAUUCUUCAUGUACAUUGAAACACAUUAAAAAGGGAUGAUACUGAAUCAAGCAAAAGUGGAAAUUUCUCAUUCACUCAUAAAAUCAAAUUGAAGAGUCAUAAUCUCAUUCCUUGAGUGAUUGGUCAGAGUCAUAAUUGUAAACUAGAAUCCAUUUGCUUAUAAAUAGCAAUCAU
rnacentral:lncRNA from 1 species